rnacentral:rRNA from 1 species
UACGAAGGGGGGCUAGCGUUGCUCGGAAUCACUGGGCGUAAAGCGCACGUAGGCGGCUUACUAAGUCAGGGGUGAAAUCCUGGAGCUCAACUCCAGAACUGCCUUUGAUACUGGUGAGCUUGAGUCCGGAAGAGGUGAGUGGAACUGCGAGUGUAGAGGUGAAAUUCGUAGAUAUUCGCAAGAACACCAGUGGCGAAGGCGGCUC